rnacentral:tRNA from 1 species
CCCGCGGUAGCUCAGCCUGGAAGAGCUUCCGGCUGUAGACCGGAGCGUCCCCGGUUCAAAUCCGGGCCGCGGGA